UUAGCACCUACACCUUGGUCCUGAAUAAAGACCCCGGCAGGGAGCCAGAUACUCUGGGAAGGAUUUGAUCCGGGGAUUUUUCUUUCCUUACUUGUGGGCCUCUAUAUGGAGUAACCUGUCCCCAGAGGGUGAACUCGUAUUUCCUACCCAGCUUUAUGCCAGCCUCAUCCUUCCCACCGACUUGACGCACUCCACCCGGUGCCAAAGCCCAGUUCCCUGCCUUGGCGCUGCUUCCUGCUCGCCCUCUCCUCCCUUGGCAGCCGCUGAGUGGGGCCACUGCCUCUGCUUUCAAUCUGAAAGUUAGAAAGGAUGUCUCCAAGAACUCGACCCCUGAAGCACUGAAGAGGUCAGCCCUCGGUUGCACAUCACUUGGAGGUAUUUGCAACACAACCUUAGCUCUGGAGACAGCGGUUCCAGGUUUCACUUACAACCCACCCUGGAACCAUCUUGGCCAAGCCCUUCUUCACAAGGGGUAACAGAGGAGUUGCUGGGUGGAAGAGCGAUCCUGAGGUUAGACAAAGCACAACGUGGGCAGGGGCAACCCUGCACGCAGAAGGCAGCUUCUCAACUUCUCCGGUUGUCUGCACAAGUCUGAGUUUUGCACACAGUUUACACAUCUUGCACAAGGUGGCCGAGCCAUCCGAGACACUUUUUAAAAGAUAAAUUCAGACACUGCCUAACUGCUCCAGCACAACCUGCUUCCACCCCAUGGCUGGUGGGAGCUUGAACGGAAUUCCUCUGGAAUGAGAAAGGUCGGUCCUCUGACAAGAAUGCAUUUUCUCUGUUGGCCUCAUUCCCUGCCUCCCCAUCCUACACAGACUCUUAGCGACUCAGGGGAUCUUACUCAAGUGCUGUUCAUUUGCAUUCUGUCCUGUUCCACAGCUCACUCCUGCUAAGACCCAUCCCUGGAAUUUAUCACUCAUUAUUUCUCUUUUCCUCCUGAAGAGGAGUUCUUUUACCCUUGGAAGUACCAUUCUGGAGACCUUUAAGUCUAUCUGACACAGACCUAGGAGUCUUUCCUAGAAGCCAGCUCACCUCUAUAGCUCAGAAAACAUCUAGGGAAUCAAUACCAGGAUGCCAGGAUACCAGGAGAUUUCUCAACCCCUGGCCCUGCUUAAAAAGUGACUGAGGGGCUGGUGGGACCCUGUGAACCCUGUGACCCCACUCCUCUCCCAUCAGCUCACCUGAGCUCAGGCCCUGGGCCAGCCUAGAGGACCCAGAGGCUCCGGGUCUUCCAUGAUGUUCAGAGUUGAGGGCAAAUGAACCAGGGCCAAGGGGACGUGGUCUCCAUCCAUGGUUCCUCCACCAUGGCCUGGUCAGAGUGUCCAGCACCUCUUUUGGGGCCGUGACAACCAGCCUCUCUGGGAAGGGGCAUGCCCACCUCCUGGGGCUGUGGCAUCACUGAGUUUCCACUGCAGUCUACACCUGGUGGCUGUGCCUGUUCAGAGGUAACGAUUCACUCGAAGCACAAACAGAAUCUUUGCCCAGGAGAGUCUUCCCCCUCAGGGGAUGAGUCCCACUGUGGAGCAGGAGCUGACCCUCCAUCAGGUGGAUGGUGGCCGCUGAUUGGUAUCUGAGACCGUGCCAGCCCCAGAUAUGUAGAGUUCUGGAUGCCAUGGCCAGAGAAGUCAGGUGCAGCCCUGAGCCCUCUCUGUGGUGGAGGAAGAGCCUCAUCUGAGAUGCAGUGUGUCCUCUUGUGGGGGAAGGGGACAGUCGCUUUAGAGGAAAAGAGUAUUUAGGAUGCCCGGAGUUUCAGGAUGUCAGAGUAAGUCCCAUCAGCGUGACCUGUGGGCAGGUGACAUUAACCUUCUUGGAGGGCUGGAGGCAUCAGAUGCAGCUCACCCUAACUGAGGCCAACAAUAUGGAAGGCCGUGUCCUGGUGCCUGCGAACAGUGAUGUCAUCUAAACCUUUACAAUAAUCUGGCAAGAUGAGAAACCCCAUUCCAUUUUACAGAUGAGGAGACUGAGGCGUGGGGAGCUCAAGGGUCCUGUGGUCAGUCAGGGGUCCAGCUGGGGGUCAGACCUGGAUCUUUGGUCUUCCAGGCUUCUCUUUGUGCCCUUUCCCAAUGGUUCACAGAGGCCAGCUAGCCAAGAGUGCCUGGCAGGGACAGCUUGGGACCAAGGCUGUCCUGGCAUUUUUGUGUCCUUGUAGAUGGCCAUAGAGGCUAGGAGAAGAGUGAGUUUUAGAGGACUAAGAGUUUAAUGACAGUUUAUGAGACGGGGUAUCCCCGUGGGAAAGGAUGCCUGUUUCCCAUGUGAGUUCUUGGAGAGCUGGUGUCUGCUUUGGUGUCCUGAGAACUUCUGUAUCUCCUUUCGUGGGGUUUUGUAGUGGUGGGUUUUGUGUGAUCGAUCUUGAAAACAGAGGUGAUCUCCAGACAAGUGGAUUAUUUCUCUAAGGGUCCAAUAGGAAUUAGGACAGAAUCAGAAACUUAACCUUCACUGGGUAAAUUCUGAGAAGGUUGUUGAAGAUACUGGCUGUGAUGCGGCAGAGAGGAGGAGGCUUCUCGACAGGCAAGUCCCCGUGCGAGCCUGGCAUUCAGAGAGAAGCGGAGUUUGUAGGUGUGGGCAGCCAGGGAACCUACAUCGUCUCUCUGUCCCCGCUUCCUAGGCCAGGCACUUGUCUUCCUUGAGCCUUGGUUUCCUCAUCUCUGAAACAUGGAAGUGAGCCUGGUGACCUCCGUUGUGGGUCCCAACCUGAAAGGUACGAAAAUAGCGAGAAAGGCAGACGCACUCACAAACGCCUUGACAACUGAGACUUUGGGAUGAUGAGCGUCGGGAGCCACUGUAAAUUCCUAAGCUGAGGGAUGAAAUGACCAGCAUGGAAAUACUAGGCUGAAAAAACUGGUUUUCACUGUGAUGUGAACUGAUUAAGGGAGGAAAACAAGAUAAAUGAGAGAGGAGGAGCACCUGGGCAAACAGAUGGGCAGGAAAGGGCAGAGUAGGGAAAGCUGAGGAGGAGAGAGAAGAGCCCUAUUGCCCUACUUCCUCACGAACGUAGGUCAGCCUCCUAAUUUACAUGUUCGUUUACAGUUAUGUCAGCUUGAUGCCUCCUGGGCUCACGCAUGCACAUACACACACACCACACACCACACACGCACAACCUUAAUCCUGCUGUAGUCAGAGCAGUUACCUACUGAGAAAAAAAAAAAAAAACCCAGUCCUUGGGCAGAGCUGGGGCUUCUUCAGAGCACAAAGGAACAAUGGAAUCUCAGGGUUUGAAGGGGACUCAGACGCCACCUGAUUAUUGCUUGUCCACACAGUCACAGACAAAAUGGCAUCAGACUUUUCUCAAGGCCUCCCCUCGAGUGAAAAUACUCCUUAUUGAAUGCCUGGAGUCAGACAGCCCCCUCCUGUAAGGACUCCAACGCUGUCUGUUGCUCAGCAGGCUGAUUUCUUCUGCUUCCCAUCUCUGAGGGAAGGGGGACCUAGUCCCUGGAUUAGUGAGCCCUCGACCACCACUUCCCAGGAACUCCUAGUGGGGCAAGACUGGGAAUCGCUUGAAAAUGAUGGUCAUAAGCUCACCUUGUCUUUGUCUCCUGAAAUGAUGCAAAAUUAAGAUAUAUCGACCUCCUCCCCUCCCCACAGCCCCGCUCCAGGCUGGAGAUGGCUGCUCACUUUGCUGUGACUCGGUUUCCACACGUCCUCAGAUGAAUUGUUUUUAGUUCCUCUCGCACUGGGUUCUGCCGCUAUGUUAUUCCUUCUCGGGAUGAUGUUUUAUGUUCAAAAUUCAAACAUGACUCUUGCCUUGAGAUGUACUUCAGAAGACAGGAGGAGGUUUCUGGUUAUGGUCUUGGGGGAGAAAAUAUAGGGUCUUUAAAGUUCUUACAACAUUGUGGCCCCUUCCCUUCUUCCCCAAACUAUUCUCUCCUUGCAUUUUCUUAAAAUGCAAUCCAGUCUGGGUGGUGCUCUUCACGUGCCAGGCACUGUGCCAGGCACUGGGGCGGCAGAGGGGAAAGGUGCUCUCUUAGGGGAUCUGCAGUCCAGCAGAGGAGAAAGAUGAUCCACAGACAGAUGGGACAGCACAGCAACGCCCCCAUCCUGGAGAGCAGGGCUGGGUCCCGCCCAGCAUGGGCCGGACUUUAAGCUUCCCUGACGUGCCAUCACUCAGGCACCAGCCUUCCCACCCUGUUCCCUCCCCCAAUCCUAAGUCUCCCAGACUCACCAGGCAUUCCUCUUGGACCCCUCUGUCUUCCCUCUUGCCUGAGCUGACCCGUUCCUAGCUAUUUCCCAGCAACAUAAAUCCCAUCCAAAACAGGAUCACAAGCAGAGACAAAAUACCUACUCAAUAGACCGUGGAAGCUUGACUGCAGCUCGCUUGUUGCCCCGUCAGUGUCUCUGAGCCCUGCUUCCUCCGCGCUUCCUCUAGGGUCUCCAGGGCCUUGAGAGUCACUAGCCACAAGCCCGAGUUACUCCUGCGCCUUCUGGUUGGAGCCCCUAAGAUCUCUGCCUGCACUUGGCUGAGCCGACCCUUUCUUGGCUGGUCCUUCCACUGUUUGCCUCCACCAGCCAGGCGUCCCCUCCUGGUCCCUUUACCUCACUCCAUCCUUCUCCCAUCCAAGACAUCAGACAAGGACUAGUUGGCUUUCUCAUCAGCUACCACUGCCUGACAGCGCAUUUUACGAUGCAAAAUGCAAUUAUAGUAAAAACCAAGGCUGAAGAUGACCUUCUCGGUGGCCUUUUAAGCUCUCUUUUGGAAAGGCUGUAAAGGGAAGUGAUAAAGGGAAAGGAACGAUCCCAGCAACCCAAAUCAGUAGGUGCUCUUGACCUCACCCACUAGGAGAGCAGGGGAUCCUCGGAAAGUAAAGUCAUGCUGGAGACGUCACAGCUGAAUUGAUUGCCAGCUAUUUCCAGGCAUGUGUCAAGGGCCCUCCGAGGCCAGUGGUCCCCGGUGCAGUGGCUGCAGAGGCGAGGGUGCCCACAGACACCCUUACUGUCAACCCCCAGGCGCUGAACCCCCGAGGCUGCCCCACCCCCACCUGCAGGGAUCCAGAGAAGAGCCCUGUGGGACAGGUUACUCCUUAUUACAUAGGUGAAAAUUAUAUAGAGAGAUAUAUUAUAUAAUUAUAUAUUUUUUCCUGGGCACAAAAGCAAAAAUACAAACUUUCUUUAUUAUACCAGGGCUUGUAAUUGAACACACACAUGAUUCCCUGACUUAAAAAAAAAAAAAUUUUUUUUUUUCCAUUUUGAAGCAGGUAUUUUUUUAAUGGGGCUUAUUUUGGGGUUUGAGAUCACUGGGCUUCUUGCCCUGUGAAUCCACGCUUGCUGCUGUGUUGAAAAUGCAUACAUUGGUGACCACAGUAUUAAGCCAAAUUUAAACUCUUUAGUCUCCUUCAUCUGUAAGUGUUAUGUAUCUACCUCAUUAUGAUUUUUUUGGUUUCCUGUGCUUUCGUGUUGUGUACAAUGUCAGAGGUGAAAUGUAGAUAAAAAUAUAUAUAUAUAUAUAAAUAUAUAUUUUUUGCUUUGCAAUAAAGUUCAAAGCUAUAACACAGACUAUUCAUGAAAUGCCACAGCCUUUUAUUGUGCUCUGUCCUCUUAGUUGUGAAUUGUCCUGGGAGCCCUUUUGCUGAUUCACCCAGAAUCAAUAUUAUUGUUUGUCAUUUGAUGAAUUCUUCUAAUUAUUUUAACUGUAUUUUUCCGACACAUUGAAUAAGACAUUAGGAUUCUUGAACAACUCUUGGUUCCAAAGGUGCUUUAUUUCUGUGGACUCAUGUGAUCAAAUGGAAGAAAAGUGUCCCUGCAGACUUGAAUCUUCCAGAUAAAAUGAUGGAUCUUAAUGCCAUUGGGUUUAGAACAAAAGGUUUGUGCGCAGGGGGAAAAAGGAAACAUUGGUUUGGCUUUGAUUUUUCAAAGCUUUCGAUUUUGAUUUAUGUCCCAGCUUUCUGUUUUUAAUUUCAAUCUCUUGGCAUGGAACACGGUACCCACGAACUCCCUAGCAUUCUCAUCUGUCUUGGCUGCUUUCGACAUUUUGACUUCGCCGUUUUCUCUAGGUUGAUUUCUUUGCAUUGUGCCGUUUGGUGGUGAACCACCCUGUGCCCAGCCCUUACAUCUCCAGCCUUGUGAAACCCUCUUCCGUACCAUGUGUUAAGAGGAAUGGCACCCGGGGAAUGUUUGUAGUUGACAAGCCAGCGAUGCCGUAAAGACCCAAUUACAGAAGAAUCCUGACCAAUUACAGUACAGGGUGAAGGGAACUUGAAUAGAAAUUUCAAGGUGGAUUAUCUGCAAUUGACUCCCCUUUUCUCUAAUUCGAACACAAUGACUUUCUUUUAACUAAGCAAUUCAGGUCAUGAGUCCUAGAAACUUCGUGUUUUUCUGUAUCUUUUGCCAAAAUAUGGAAGACAUUUCUCAACUUCAUUAAAUAUGUUUUCAAUGGGAUAAAGAAAGGUCUGUAAAUUAAAGAGCCUUUAAAAUGAUACUUGAGUGAUACUCUGUACAUGUCUUUUUUUAAAAUUCCCCAGCUCCAGGGAGCUAGGGAAAAGUUGUAAUCGAAGUAGGGGAGAAUAAUUUCUACAAAUGCCGUGUUUUCCCUUGAAACACAUGCAGUGACUACAAAAAAAGAAAAAUGCUUACGAUUCAAUUUCAUAUUAUGUCCUGUUUUCCUCCUUUUUUUUUCCUUCUGAUGAUCAUAAGAAAUUGCUUGUGUGUAUUAAGAAUUUCCACUUGUGUUUGGGGAGGUUUGCCUUUCUCCUUAACAAUGCCGAACCGGCAUUCCAACAGCUCUGGCUAGAUUAUACCUUGCCUGUUCUCAGCUAUUUCUCUCUUUUUAUGGUAUAAUGGUCUGUGUAUAAAUUGAAAUGCAGAUAAGAUGUGUACUGAAGAUGGAACACACUGGUGUUGACUUGAAGGGGAAAAAAAAUCUAAUGAUAAAUAUAUAUUUAUCUAUCAAUCUAUCUAUAUACCUUAAGUAGGUGAGUGGAAAUAUAUGAUAUAUCCACACACCCACACACAAAACACACACAUAGGCACAAUGACAAUAGACUUCCAAAGUUGGUUUUAGGUUCUGAGGAAUUUGCCACCUCACUGAGCUUCCCAAGAUUCCAAAAUUUCUUUUGAAAUAAUUGUCUAAGAAGUGUUUUGCUUUGUUUUUUAGGUACUAGAAAGCACAAUUCUAAUUAUUCCCUGUUCCCUUGGGGACAUAACGUAGAUUCAGAGGAGCCCACUUGUAGGUGAGUUUCUAUGGGAUCCUUUCUUGCACCACCACCUUCCGGCUCGCCCAGUGCUGAAAGAAAUUUAACUACAGAGCCCUGCACACCCCCCUGUCUUUGUUCCAUCUUUCCACUCAUCUCAAGCCCCCCACUUUCCCAUAGGGGAGACCUUGUUUGCUGGAGACCCUUCCAAACUCUGGAUCCUGGACUGACUUCUCUCUCCAUGUAGGUUCUGGGCAUUUCCACACUUGGGGUCACCUUUCCUGGAUGACCAGACCCAUUGCACCUCCAAAUCGCCACCAGGAUACAGGUAGCUAGGAGAUUCCAGGGUGAACAGAAGGAACUCCUUGCUGUGGCUGGGGCAGAGGCAUUUUAGGUAGGCAUGUUCAUGGUCCUAAGCACCAGGUUUAAUCUGUUUCUUAUAGAGGAAGGACCCAAACGCACCAGGCUCUAAAGGUAACCCUGGGAGAGGGUGUGACAUGACCUCUGAGCCAGAUCAGCCAGUAUGGUCCAUGUGGUGCCCCACCCCUGGCCCACAAGCAAAGCUCCCUUAGUUGAGAGGGAAUUUCCAACAAGACAGAGUGAGCUUGAGGAUGGGGAGAAGGGAGUUAAGCUUCACCUCACUGUUAAAAGGUGUUUUCUGCAUGGCGGGUUGGUCUUUGGCCUUGACCGUUGUUCUUGGGUUGUUGUGGAAAGCAUGGGCACUGACCUGAGGCUGCUAUGCAUUCUCUUCCACUGUUACUAGUCUGGACGCAUCUCUGUCCUGGAGAAGGGAGAGGGCACUGUCCUGGGAGGUGAUCAUUCUAGAUAGAGUUGCUUUCAGUCCUGCUUAUGGUUGUGUCUUGCUCUUGAACCUCUGGGGAAAUCUCCAACCUGGACUCCACUUCUGAAUCGCUAGCUGCUUUCUGGUGGCCUGUUUUGAGGCAAGGAUGACUUCUGUGUUUGCCUGAGGUACUUUGAAGUCACUUUGAAAUUAGAGGUGGAAAGUGUAUUUCAAUGGGAUGUGGCAAAGGAUGCAAGAAUGUCUCUUACUCUGCAUUUGAAGUGUGGUACAGCCGUGGUAGAGACGUCUUGAUCUUGGACCAUCAGGUCUGCCGUGUGCUCUGCCCCUUGCAAGGACAAGGUGGGUGGAUGAUGAACUCAUUUCACCUCGCUGCAGCUUUCCUGCCACACAGUAUUCCCACUUCAGAUCUGGUCUGUCAGCUGGCUCUUAAAUAUGUAUCAAACACCUACUCUGCCAACAGCAGGGCUAGAAUGGUAGGGGCGCUAAAAAGAAAACACACCUCAAGGAAUAAAAUAUGAGAGGCAAGAAAUGUACAUAAAUAAUCAUAGUACAGUGACAAGCAGAGCCCUGAGAGAGUGCAGAGUGCUAGGGGCAUCCUGAACAGAAGGCCAUGCUUCCAAUCAGAAAGAGAAGAGGAAGCUUCAAAUGGACUGGCCUUUGAGUUGGGUUUUAAAGGCUCCAUAGGAUACGUAAAGAUAGAUCAGUUGGGUUGACCAUGCUUACAGUCGGGUGACAUCAUUGCUUCAUGUGAGGUGUUGGCUGCCUUCUGAUAAGAACUCAAGACAAUUUCCAGCAAUGCCACUGUCUGCUCACAUUCACCAAGCCUCGUUGAAAGGAGAGUCCUUCAAACUGCAGCCAGUUUCUCUUCAAUUGGUGAUGUGAUUCAGAGAAUGGCGUCCCCUUGUGGCUAAACCCUCUCCCUCCUUGAAGGCUUCCCAGAGUUCCCAGAGUGGGGCUCAAGGGGUGCUCAUGUGUGUUCACGUGCACGGCUUGCCUCAAAGCCUAGUUCCCUGCAGCUUGGGUGUGUCUAAAACCCAUUCCUCUGGUCCUCUCAGUGCAGUGGAAGCCAGAAGGAAUAAGGUCAUCAAGUAGUGGUGACAGGCUUAUGGGCCUCACAUCUCUGCAGGUGAGGGCAAAUCAGAGGAUUAGAAGGUGUCCAUCAAGUCUGAUUUAAAGCCAAAGGGCAGGAAGGCUUGAAUGUUGCAUGGGAUUUCUGAAAGCUCAAAGCUGCCCACGAGACACAAAAGAGCCCACUCUCUGCUUCUUAAAAAGUUUUGGUUCAGCCCUGGUCAGUCCAACAUCCUAGGAUAUUUUAAGAACGCUGCAGCCUCCCAGAGUGACUAGACCUCAGCCAGCUUUGGGUGCUCCCUGAAGCAGCUAGGAGCUGGUCGCUGUGGGCUCAGCAUAUCCUAAAGGGGGCUGAGUCUUUGGGAUCUGAGGAAAGGCCCGCUUGUUUCUAUAGUUAGUGCAGUGGUUCUGGGCCUUUCCAGAUGCCAUAAAAAGGGUAUUGAUGAAAAGGAGGCCAAGAAAAAUUAGGGUUUGUCUGACCCUUUCCCCAGUGGCCUCCAAUUUCUUCAGCCCUACACACAGAUUGCACCACAGUUUCUUUAGCUUGGUUUCAUGUUCUGAGAAGAAAAAAAAAAAAGACAUUCAGACAUUGGAUGAGACAAGGCACAAAGAAACUGGGCAAGCACAAGACCCUUCCCAGCCUUCCUAGAAUUCACGUUUCCCCAUCAGAGUGGCCUGGCCUUUGGUGCAGACCUCAGAAUCUCAGCAUGUCUAAGUCAACAUGCAUGGGUGGCUGUUCUGAACAUUAGACCCUGAUAAUAGAAUAAACAGGCUUGGUCCUCUCACUGGAAUCCCCUGAUUGUAUGGGUUUACAGAGUAUAGGUCUGUCUGGUUCAUUAGUCAUUCUCUCUUUAACCUCCAUAAAAUAAGUCUUUGCUGCCAAUCCAUGGCCUGGAAUCUUUUCGUAAUGGGAAGGGUGAUGACCACCUGCGUCCCUAACCAUAUCAGUCCAGUAUCCUUUCAGAAAAGUGGGCUGCUGUUUUGCAGAAGUCAUCUUUAAGAAUAUGUUAAUCGUGAUCUUAUUAUCUGGGGGAAUUUAAUGUAGAUCCUUAAUUUACAGAGGAGGAAAGAGACAUUGGGGUUUGAAUCAUUUGCCCAACUUCCCUUGAUUAAUGAAAGACAAACCACCAUGUGGGCUCGGGUGUCUUGACUGAAUGGCCAUACACCCCUCAUGUAAAUUGGUGGGAUUAUCUUACCUUUCUUUUCUUCCUGCUGCCUAAUAGAACUCUGAGGGUCCACCUAUGAUGGGACAUUUAUCUCAGCCUGCAGCAGACUGAAUGGCUUGACUUGUGUAUAAACAACUCAUAGUGAAAUGGACUAAGAGCAGGGGGCCCUCAGUUAUCAGCUUGAGUCAACAUAUGGAAAAGAAAUCCUCUGUAUUCAACAAGAGUUGCUGCCUCCAGACAGACUGCCCCACAGAACUUGGAGAACACUGGUUCUAACUCUGCUUUGUCUCAGGUCAAAACUGAAGCAGUCUCUCCCAAUAAGAAGGGGAGCCCCUCCCCUGAGAGCCAAGGGCUCAGGACUCUUGACUCAAGGCCAGUCUGUUCAUUCAUAACUUAGUCUCCUUAUUUACUCACUCAUCCUUCAGCUAGAAAAUAGCCCAGGCACGGGAGUAGAAUUUGUUCUCAAGUAAUUAAUAGUCUGGACAGAGUACUAGAACCUGUACAUCAAGUGCUGAAGGGUAAGCCUUAAAGUUAUGGGUCCAGAUACAGCUCUUUGAGCUCUAAGGGAGAGAAGAUGAUGGUGUUGUCAGCUCUUUGCCUCCACUGGUCUUUCUGAAAGAUUGCAGAGCACCCCUAGUGGGUGGCACAUCUUGGAUUUUGGACCUUAAAACAAUGUGUCCCCUACUCUUCUUCUCCUCUCCCUAAAAAGUAGCCCCCGGUGGACACCAAUAUAUUGGUUCCCUUGACUACCACUUUUAGCAGAUACCUCUUGCAAGAUCACCAGGAGCCCUUCUCUAAAGCAGUGCUGUCUUAGGGAAGAUGGCUUGACCAGAAAGAAGAGACAAAUCGAGAAGAGUAACGCGAAGACUCCUCUUUCUCUAAGAUAGAUUGCUUUAGAAAGAAAACAAGUUGCUUCACCUGCAGUCGUGUUAGCCUUGAUCUGGAGACUGAAACGGAAUGCAGAUAAGGAAUUUAGGAAAGGACUCUGUCUUAGAUUGGGCUUCUGUAACAAAGUAACAUAAGCUGGGAGACUUAGAAACACACAUCGAUUUCUCUUAGUUCUGGAGGCUGGGAAGUCUGAGAUCAAGAUGUCAUAGGUUUGGUGUCCAGUGAGAGAUCUCCUCCUAGUUUGCAGGUGGCUGCUUCCUUGCUGUGCUUCCCUAAUAUCUCAGUUGGUAAAGAAUCUGCCUGCAAUGCAGGAGACCUUGGUUAGAUUCCUGGGUCAGGAAGAUCCCUUAGAGAAGGGAUAGGCGUGUCCUCAUGUGGCAGAGAGAGCUCUGGUCCAUUCUUCUUAUAAGGGCACUAACUUCAUUCACAGGGGCCCCACCCUCAUGAUCUCAUCUAAAUCCGAUUAUCUGUCAAGGGCUCUACCUCCAAAUACCAUCACAUUGGGAAUUAGGGUUUCAACAUAUGGAAUUUGGGCAUGAGACAGGGGCAGGGGACACAAAUGUUUAGUCCAUAGCAGACCUCUUUACCUCCAGGAGAUGAAAGACCAAAAACUCAACAUAUGUACCCCAUCCCCCUGAGCUAUUAUUCUUAGCCAUCAUUUCUUCAUGUCCAUGAACACAUAUCUCCAUCCUGAGUUUAUGGGUUUACAGAGUAUAGGUUCAGCAGUGUGCUAUGAAUGUGUGCAUGGGGUGUAGAGAACAAGAGAGAAGGCUGUCAUCUUAGGAAGAGACAAGGGGAAAAGGAGGCACAAUGGCAUGACACAGUCAGCUAACCUUCAAGGUUUCCUAUGAAAUACAAACCCCUGGGCUGAUCCCCACAAGACAUUCACUCUUAUGAUGCCCCUUUAGGCCAGUGAUGAACUUGUAUUUCAUUCCUUUUAACACUGAUUCUUUUGGGUGCACUGCUCUGUUCUCAUGGUGAAUGCUGAUAUCUAUCUGGAGGUGCAUAAUCAGAAGAGUUUUUGAAGUACAGGUAUAGCACAUCUAUUGCAGUCGCCACUAACCAGAUGCCCAUCUCUAAACGUGUUAACCUCCAAGUAAGUUCAUUUCAAAGCUACAGAUUAUUCAAUAGGUGGUGGUUUUUUUUUUUUUUUUUUUUUUAAAGUCCUCAUUGUUUAACAGUGAUGAGGAAUAGUGGGGUUUUAAAAGUUAUUUUUAAUUUCCUAAUCUCCUAGUUCAGUUCAGCAAACUGGACCACUGUAAGUCUGCCAGUUCUUAUAUCCAGUGCUUUGCUCUAAGCGUGGCUGAGUGAGAGCAGGCUGGAGAGACUUUCGUGGUAGAAACACAGAUUGUUUAGGAAGCUGUGCUGCUCCAUCACACGGCCAAGGAGCGCUGCCUCCAGCCCCACCUUCCUUCCAAACAGGGUCCCACCUCCACACAAUCCAUUUGCAGUAGCAAGGCAACUGGAAUCACCACCAAUCCACUGAACCAGCUGAAGUACAAUUUCUUUCCUGCAAAAUGAAAGCAACACUUCCUAAGGUCCCUUCUCAACCCAGAAUUCUGUUAUCAACACACAAACUCAUUCAACAAAUGUCUAUGAAGCUCAUUGUCUCCAGACUGUGAACUUCUUCUUAAAAAGAAAAAAAAAAACAGGAGAAAAAAUGUCUUAGCUUCUCCUUUUAAACUCAUCCUCACGUUUGUGAGCAUAAGAACGGGGAGAUCGUCCUUAAAUGGAAGGUAAACAUCUCCUGAAUCAUUCAGCUCUGUUUUUCUCUUGCUCAGAAGAGGAACUCAAAUUUCCACCAUCUUUAUAAACAUACUCAAAACAUGUAUCUUGAAGGUAAAAACAUUCUGCAUCUCCCAAUCCCUCUCUUGUUGAUGUUAACCACGUUAAGUGUAUUGGGGGAAAGACCAGACCAGAGCAUCUGCUAGUCAGGAGAGGAGAAUCAGCUGUAUUGAAUGCACAGAGAUUAUUGACCAGACCCACUUCCCCCACCAGCAUCCCUGGGCUGACUGUGCCUGUUCUCUGCGGCCACAUUUCUGGGAAUCUCUUUCAGCCAGCGCAGCUCCACAAUUAAUGGUCAACAGUGUUAAACAGACUCUGGAACUGAAAAUGGGUUAUCGCAGCCCAGUUCUGGAAAUUUUCACCAGGCCUCACAUUUGCCUGAGUUUGGCAACAGGAACUCAGCCCAGAGGAAUCUUGGAGCAUUUCUUCAGCAUUUAAGCCACACUAUCUAUCAUCUCAUUCCCUAACUCUAUCCUGUCCCUUUACUCGCGUAAGUACACUUGUGAUCAACGAUCCUUAAAUGAUACUUUAAUGACCGACCGCCAGAUUAGAGACACAUGAUUUGGCAAGAGUAGAUCUAGCUGGGCAGGCCUUUCAGGGUUCAUCUCGAGCAGGGGCAUUGGCUGAGGCCAUUCAGGCAAAGCAGCUUGCGCCUUUAAAAAAUCCUCCUUUGGAGGGGAGACCUGCAGUCUGUGGUCCCUGUAGAUCUAAGUUGGCUUGGAAGUGACCAGCCCCUCAGUGGCACCCAGAGGUGUGAGCAGGCAGCUUGUUUGGAGUUCCACCACUACUGUGCCCCAGAGGGCCAGGCCUUUCAGAGCUGGGGGAAGAAUGCAAAGAAUGUUUCUAGGGCAACCGCUUUGCUAUAAUAGGCCAGGUUGGGCCCCUAACCCCGCCCCCCCAGGGAAGGCUGGGUAGGAAACGGGAUUGGGGAACCUAGGAAGUGCAGGGUCUCUUAUAGUCAAAGCAAUGAGGACCUGUGAGCACCUUGUGCCAAAAGGAAGGGAUGCACACACAGGUUCUGCCUGAUUCCACAGCCCCUGGGGUAAGAACGAGCCAGGGACGCGUGCUAGGGGAAGCCUCAUGCUUUGGCUGAACAUGGUGCUCCACCGCCCCCCGGGGAGCACAGCCAGCGUGGUGUGGGGGCGCUGAGCCUGCAGGGUCUGACAGAACUGUCUUUUCAUCUCGAGGAAUGUAGCAAAAUGUGCCCAAAGUUCCUCUCGGGCACAGAUUGCAACCAAUAAUUGCGUUCUUCCUGGGCGCCUCACAUUCUAUAUCAAAGAUCUGGACAACUCACCUCUCUCUGCGCCAACUCUUGUUCCAGAGACCCUCCAGCCCCCUCAUUCUCAGAGCCGUUCCUGAAGACUGUCUAGACUCUCCGUUCUCCUGCACACCUUCCCUGCCUUCAGCAGCAGCACAUUCCUUCAGCCCCUCCACCGAGCUCUUUAAAACGAAAGGCAGUUGCUGUCUUCCCGUGGACAAUACUGAAUGUAUCUUCUGUAAGUGCAGACCAUGUAGAGAAGUGGCUGGGUUCAUCAAAAAAAAAAAAAAAGAAAAAAAAAAAAGGGUUUUUGUAAAGCCUGUUUAUUUUUUUAAGUCGGUUUUGAGCAUUUCUAUUUUAUCACCCUUCACAUGGUCUUGGGGAACCCAAAUUGUAUCAAAGUCUCAUGCCAAAACAAGCCAAAAGUUGUUUUCUUUACCUUUUUCCUCCAUGCACCAUGAUUUAAAUGAUUGUUUCAGUGUCAUUUUAAAUGUUUUCUUGUGACAUGUACUGACGAUAAAAAUCAUCUUGACAAAAAAAAAAAGAUUUAUACAUGAAUCAGAAAGUAUUUAUUUCAAUUUUGUACCUUUCCAUUUUAAUACAUUAUAAUGUAUUGACUCAACUGAGAUAAUAUAAACAGUUCAUUUUAAUAA